rnacentral:lncRNA from 1 species
CACAGAGAUAGGACUGAUUUAAAAUUUCACAAAGCUUGAUUUAUUUUGAUCCAAGUUCUAUGAUCCUUUUCUAAAAUUAUUGCUGUAUUUUGUCCAAAUAUUCUGUAGUUUAAAAUGUUUGAAUUUGGCAGUUUAGCAACAGCACAUGCAUGAUCUCCAUUUGUAACUUAAUAGGUGAUACUUUUUUAAACAUUAUUUAUUAUUCACCUUGAAUUAAUGUACCCAUUUUGACACAAAAUCCUACAUGUACCACUUAAAAAGAUCAUUGCUUUAUUCCCCCACUGUAGUUUCAGGGUCAGUAUGUUCAGAUUUAAAUGCAAGAAAGUAGGAUUCUUAGGUUCCACUAGGUUUAUUUUAAUCUGAUUUUAGGAAGCUAAUUACUUAAUAAUUAUUAUCUUUGAAAGUUCCCACACCCCCAGCCAUCUGGCUACAUUCAUAAUUAAGUCUUUAAACUGCAAUUUGUUUUUGUUUUGCUUAGGACCUUGCUAAAUUGCUGAGGCUGGCUUUGAACUUGCAGUCCUCCUGUCUCAGCCUCCUUAAUAUGCAAAAUGAUGUUAAGUGGCAUGAGCACAAAAAAAUAGUUGAUCUCAACCAUUUACUUAUUGUACAAUAAGAUGGCAAAAGCUAAGCAAUGAUUAAAUAAUAGCAAUCUAGGAUUUAAUUUUUAUAUUUAAGAACAAUUUAGGACUCAAAUUACAGAAUGGGCCUGUUAAUAAACCAUUUAAAUUUGGUUGGAUUUAACAGCAAAAAUGUUGAAGAGUCAGCCUUGC